UACAGAGGGGGCAAGCGUUAUUCGGAAUUAUUGGGCGUAAAGGGCGCGUAGGCGGUGUUUUAAGUGAGAUGUGUAAUCCCCGAGCUUAACUUGGGAACUGCAUCUCAGACUGGGGCGCUAGAGUGCUGGAGAGGGUGGUAGAAUUCCACGUGUAGCGGUGAAAUGCGUAGAGAUGUGGAGGAAUACCAGUGGCGAAGGCGGCCACCUGGACAGUAACUGACGCUGAGGCGCGAAAGUGUGGGGAGCAAACAGG
rnacentral:rRNA from 1 species